AGGCUGCAACACGGUAUUCUCGCGGUACUAAACUUAUCUAUCUAUCUAUCUAUCUUCCAUUAAGGUCGAACCCCUUUUGAGGACAUAGACCUGUCGCGCGUCGACCGACAAGAGUUGGGCUUUCAGUAAAUCUUUCUUUGCACCUGUAUCCUCACCAAGAACUUGCAGCUGGUGGUACGAAACUUGCAUGCACACAGACUUUGAUUCGCCCGCCGGCAAAAUCGGUCACCAGGGUGUGGUUGGCUCAAGGUCCCGGAUCCAGAAGUGAGAGUUGAGUGUCAGGUGAAGAGUUCAAGCUUGGACACAAAAUCAAACGUAAAGAAAGUUGUACCGUUAACUUCAAACUUCAACGGACUUCGGUAAUGCCGGUACACUGUAUUCUUACACCAUUUUCUGCCUAAAUAAUGCAGUAAGGUUUUCUGAUUGCAGUUUUCUACGGCAUAAUUGUU